rnacentral:misc_RNA from 1 species
UGGGCACCUUCUAGGCUCACGCAACUUGAAAAUUUGUGUCGUACACUCCCGACCACAUUGGAUCAAGUUCUCACAUGGAUGCCAUGUGGUCGGAUUGUGGUCCCAGGUUUCCAGCUCAGCGCGUGUCUUCACUCUCCUUACUUUAUGUUUGUCGGGCAAACGACGACACCACAUCAUCUGUUUAGAGAUUGUCUUGAAAAGAAAUCACUGCGCCACACGCAAAAAUACCGGACGCUCGAGUAUGUCUGGUACAAUUACAAUACAUGCUCUCAUACGUAUAAAAUGAUGUUUAUCUGUGACGCGUGCACACAAGAAGAAACCUCCCUCGUGAGGCACGUGACCUUUAUCUCCAGCCGCUUUGUCGGAUGGCUUCCAAGGACCCCACUAAAUUUUUGGGAGACAGGGAGAGAAAGGAGCUCCCCAAACCACCAGUUCUCCACCGCCACAACCACCAAAGAUGUUCAUUUACUACUUGUUGCUUGCAACAAAUCAAAAUUGUCAAUUAGAGUGAUCUUAUGUGGACUCAAGACCACCUGAAUUUGUUCACCUUUUAAGGAUUGAGAGCGUUUUGCUAGCAUUCUCAUUUGCUGACAUGAAAUGCUUUGGUGUAGCUAUAAACCAGAUGAUGCAACUAGUGGGACGCCUACUUGGAUUGGUAAGGGCCUCACUUGUGUAUGCUUCAAGCGAAAGGGAACUUACGAACGGAUCUACAUUAACUUGACACCUCUACAGGCAAGUAUACUAAUCAUAGAAAAACACAUUUCAGCCGGAGGACAGGGAAAGAGCAAGAAAUAAUUAUUAAUUGCUUUCUGCUAUCAUGUGAUCUUCUCGAAUUUAUCUUCCAAAACGCAACCACUUCUCAGAAGUCUUUAGAACUAUAUGACCUAUUGCAAAACACACGCCUUAGUGCUUGCAUGGGGCAAAUGGAGCUGAGCUCAGUGUUGCUCAGAACAGGCCGGUUUGGCAGUGAAACUUAGAAACUCAGCUAGAGCUAGGAAGAAAGAUUGAAAAGGUUGAAGCACAGGAUGAAGAUUUAUUUCGAUGCUUCCAGGCCAGACCACCAGGUGUGGUACUUUUGCAUCCAUUUUUUGCUGUUUUAUUACAUCUCCGAUUACUUAAUUCCAAUCCAGGGUACAGACUUGACCGCUAUGGUCCAUAACAUCAAUGUUUUCUUACAUAUGAUCAAAUCUCUCAUGACACAGAUGCAAUUGUUAAAAAUAAGAAGUAGUGAAACUUGUUAUCUCACACCCUUCCCGGGUUCUAUUUAUACUUCUUAUGCAACUAGUACUGAAAUUUUCACGAGGCAGGAAGCUUUAAGAGCACUGUGGUCUGCCACAUAUCCUGAUAGGAAGCUUCACGGUUUGAUAUCUGAUCAAUGGAAAGAAAUGGGAUGGCAAGGAAGAGAUCCAUCUACUGAUUUCAGAGGAGCUGGAUUCAUUUCUUUGGAGAACCUGUUAUUCUUUGCCAAAACAUUUUCGACAUCAUUUCAACGUUUACUAAAAAAGCAGGGAGGAAAGCGAUCUGCUUGGGAGUAUCCAUUUGCUGUUGCUGGUGUAAAUAUCACUUUCAUGAUCAUGCAAAUGCUUGACCUUGAUGCCUGUGAGUGGAGCCUGAACACUUCUGUUUCCCCUAUACUUUGAAUUUGCAUAAGAUGAUUAUUCUCAUAAUUUAGGCUCUGCCUAAUUGUCAAGCAAGUCUGAGCCCAUUACCACAGUAUGCCUAGAAGAACCAAGCCUGGUCUUUGUUUGGCCCAAAUUUAUUUGUAUUCCUCUGAGGAGAUUGCUAAUUUAGCUAACUUUUUUUUUUUGCAGCAAAACCUAGGACAUUUGUCAGAUCAGUUUUCUUACAAAUGCUGUCAGAAAAUGAAUGGGCUUUUGACUUGCUCUAUUGCAUGGCUUUUGUGGUCAUGGACAAGCAAUGGCUGGAAAGGAAUGCAACAUACAUGGAGUUUAAUGAUGUAUUGAAAUCCACAAGGGCUCAAGUGGAAAGAGAACUUCUAAUGGAUGAUGUCCUACGGAUAGAAGACAUGCCUUCUUAUGCCCUUCUCUCUUAACAGAAACUAUCUAAUGUACAAUUUGGUUUGUUUGCUAGAGUUGCUUUUUUUGUGCUUGCUUUUUUUGCUUUUAAGAAAAAAAAAACAACUUUAGCGAGUUAACCAAACAAAGAGUUUCAUGCUGGACUAGUUUAAGGCCACUGAUUUAUUUUAGCCUUGAAGUUGUAAAAUCCCUCUAAUCAUGUUUCUUUAUCCUAUUCUUCC